AGCGAACGCUGGCGGCAGGCUUAACACAUGCAAGUCGAGCGGGCACUUCGGUGUCAGCGGCCGACGGGUGAGUAACACGUGGGAACGUACCCUUUGGUUCGGAAUAACGCUGGGAAACUAGCGCUAAUACCGGAUACGCCCUUUUGGGGAAAGGCUUGCUGCCGAAGGAUCGGCCCGCGUCUGAUUAGCUAGUUGGUGGGGUAAUGGCCUACCAAGGCGACGAUCAGUAGCUGGUCUGAGAGGAUGAUCAGCCACACUGGGACUGAGAUACGGCCCAGACGCCGACGGGAGGCAGCAGGGGGGAAGCUGGCAAAAUGGGCGGGAGCGUGAGGCAGAAACGCCGCGGGCGGGAAGACGGCCAUCGGGGUGGAAAACGAAUGCAGCAGGGACGAAGCGGUUUGUGACGGUACCUGAAGAAGAAGCACCGGCUAACUACGUG
rnacentral:rRNA from 1 species